GCCAUGUGACAAAUUUUGAGGGGUAUUCUCGUCCCUUCACUCAAUCUCUUCUUCUUCUCUCACUUUCUUCGUCUUCUGCUUACUCCCAACUCUCCUUGUUUCUCUCAAUCUCUUCUUCUUCCUCAAGCUCAGAUUUCUAAUCCAGCCACCCACACCAUGCCAAUCAUAUCUGGCCUCACAAUCCACCAUUCUCCGUCGCCGUCGCCAUAACCCUCGCUCAAACUUCACCCGAAACAAGGCUGAGAGAGAAAGAAAGAGGUUCGUACUUGGCGGCCAUAGAAGGAGUUCGAAUCUGAAAUCGGACGAGUUUGGGUCUGUGGUAGAGCCAGUCCUUUGCCAGAAACAUAUGACGAAUUUGUGGUGGAAGAGAAGGAAGAAGAAGACUUUUCUUGCUAUUUUGAACAAAUAGCUUCCUCUCCUCAUCGCCGACGUCUUUCUGGGGUCAGAUCGUCCAGCCGGCAACUCAGGAAAAGGAAUUGAAGUCGGAAAGCUUUGUGUUUUCGACGAAUUUCGGUUGUUCUUUGACGAAUUUCGGUGACUGAUUGGGAUGCAUGAGGUUUUGGUUGGUUUCGGGGUCUGACACAAGUACCAUCACCGGUAGCUUUUCUGGCUUCAUCGCUUCACCGUUGACGGUGUGUGAGGUAUAAAACUCGAUCUUCUUUUGAUACUCUAUGUGUUGGUGUCCUUGGUUUCGAUUUGUCAUUGAGUUUUGAUAUAGUUGUUGUUUGGGGUAUUGUCGGCCGAGUUUCUGGUUUGUUUCUGACGUUGAUUGGCAUUCUGGAGGAAGAACUGCUUGGUGAUGUUCAUUUUAAGAAUCUGUGUAGUGGAGUACAAAUCUGAGCGUGAUUGGAUGGUAGCAAGGUGUUGGCUUCGAAGUUAGAAAGCUUCCUGUUCAGUGAUUGUGUUCGAAACUAGACACAGUAGCAAUACCCAUGAUUAACAUAAUGAAGUUGGGAGGAAGAAGAAGAUGAAGAAAGCAAGAGGAAGAAGAAGAGAUUGAGUGAAGGGACGAGAAUACCCCUAAAAGUUUGCCACAUGGCUAACGCCGUAACGGCCAACAGUGUUUUAGGUAUUAAUAUUGGGUCGGGGUCCGAACUUCAGGCACCAAAGUGAUAUUUUUUUUUUGUCAGGUACUAAAGUUACUAAUGGGCCAAAGGUCGGGUACUUUUUGUA